CAGCCCCUCGAGUGGUGGGGAUGAUUAUUUGGCCUAAAGCGUCCGUAGCCGGCCGAGCAAGUCUUCCGUUAAAUCCAGCGUCUCAAGCGUUGGACCGCGGGAGAUACUACACGGCUAGAGAGUGGGAGAGGUCAGCGGUAUUCUGGGGGUAGGGGCGAAAUCCUUUGAUCCCCGGAGGACCACCAGUGGCGAAGGCUGCACACUAGAACACGUCUGACGGUCAGGGACGAAAGCUGGGGUAGCGAACCGGAUUAGAUACCCGAGUAGUCC
rnacentral:rRNA from 1 species